GCGGACGUGGCGGAAUUGGUAGACGCGCGGGCCUCAGAAGCCCGUGAUGGCGACAUCGUGGAGGUUCAAAUCCUCUCGUCCGCACCA
rnacentral:tRNA from 1 species